AUCGCAAACACGGGUUGUUGCUGGCCCCCAAACCGGGCACGUGCACGCCCUGUUUACGCAUCCACUCACACCUGUGCACCCUCUGUAGUUCUGUGGACCGGGAGACGUCGUCUUCCUUCCGUGGCUCUACGUCUUUACACACAUGCCGUAGCGAAGUCUCAUGGAAUGUUUUUCGCGUUUAACGCAAUACAAUACAACUUUCAGCAACGGAUCUCUUGGCUCUCGCAUCGAUGAAGAACGCAGCGAAAUGCGAUAAGUAAUGUGAAUUGCAGAAUUCAGUGAAUCAUCGAAUCUUUGAACGCACCUUGCGCCCCUUGGUUAUUCCUCGGGGCAUGCCUGUUUGAGUAUCAUGAACACCUCAACUCUCGUGGUCUUCCAUGAUGAGCUUGGACUUUGGGGGUUUGCUGGCCCUGUGGCCGGCUCCUCUCAAACGAAUCAGCUUGCCAGUGUUUGGCGGCGUCACGGGUGUGAUAACCAUCUACGCUUGCGAUCGCCUGCCAGAUAACCCUCAGCGAUGAAGGUUCAUUGGGGCUCACAAAAGUCUCUCCACGGCGAGGACGAAUUUUGAAUGUUCGAUCUCAAAUCAGGUAGGACUACCCGCUGAACUUAAGCAUAUCAAUAAGCGGAGGAAAAGAAACUAACAAGGAUUCCCCUAGUAACUGCGAGUGAAGCGGGAAGAGCUCAAAUUUAAAAUCUGGCGUGCCUCCGGUCGUCCGAAUUGUAGUCUGGAGAAGCGUUUUCCGUGCUGGACCGUGUAC
rnacentral:rRNA from 1 species